AAAGAAACCGGGGAGGAAAGAAUCGUGAAACCAAAGAGAGAGAGAGAGUAAAAAUACAACGAGCAUACUGGUAAACAGGCUUACAAUAAUAUAGGCAGGUAGAAGAGUACCACAAAAGAUAAAUAACUCUUGUGAUCACAAGGCAAUUGCACUUUGUUGUUGUUUGCGUUUUUGCAACGCUAUCGGUUUGUUCCAUAUGAUAGCCGAAAACCAAAUACAGUGAAUUUUUUUUAAACUUGUAUACGUAAAUUUUUUAUUUGCUUCUCUAAAAAAAGCCUGUUAACGAUGGUUAAUAUGUUUCGAAUUCAAUUGUUAUUGUCUUUGAUCCCAAAAUUUGCAAACAUUUCCAUCAGCCUUCUGACUUUUUCAGCUUCAGAUAUUGCAGAAUCUCUAUGCACUUCAGUACCACUAAAUAUGUGAAUUCAAGAAGUAAUUUAUGGUUACGACUUACAUGUUGAACACAUAGUGGACGAUAAGCUACAGGCAGCAUCUGUCAAAACCAAAAUACACAUUCUUAUGGGAACAUUUAUUUAGACAGCAGCACGACUUUACGGCAGCAGGCUUGAAGUUGUCGCUGUUGCUAAAUUAAAACCAUUUAUAAUUUUGCUGACGACAACGGGCAGCUGUAGUGUUGCCACUAGUAUGUGAAAUAUAAAAUUGUUAAAAUUUCUAACAAAUCUAAUGUUGUUUUACCAACAGAAGCAUAAAUUAGAACUGAUAUAUUAUUAUUUGUAAAAACAAUUGAUCAUUUAAAACAAUGAAUCGAACUAUUUACUUAUUUUUUUGGACAAAAAAAUUUCCUUUUGAAAAAAACAUUUAAAUUUGAUUGAAGUGAAAGGUUUUAGAACGGCAACAUCGGCUGUUUGAUAUGUCGCUGCCGUCUUCAAAAUGUUCAAGAAGCUGGCUUCAAGACGACAUUUGCCGACCAGAAAAUUUCGCUAUCGUGCAGUCGAGUCGUGUCAUCGUCAUUUUGUUCUGAGCAUUAUAUUUAAAUUCGAAUUGUUUACAUUUUGUUUAUAUUCAUAUGUUUCUCUUUAUAAAUUUCUGAUACUGGGAUAUGAAAUUGGCGACUAUAUAAUAUCCGGAUAUUUCUUAUAAAUUAUGAUGAAAAGUUAUACAAAACACAUUAUAUAAAAAAUUUAUAAUUUAUUUACAAUUUCUCGAACAAGAACACUGUACAUAAGUAUUAGCAAAAGAUUGGAAAGCAAGAAAAUGAUUGCAUAUGUAUUUCUAGCCAGGCAGUGCCGCUAUAUAAAAGAGUAUAAUUAAGUGCCCAGCAGAUUAACUGUUUAUAUUGCUUGCACACCUAGAAAAUACCUCAGUUAUUAUUAUAAGAUAUAGAUUAGACACCGCAAUAUAUUAUAUUUGCAUAUUUAACAUUGUGAAACAUGCUUUUAUUUUCUGGAAUAAUGUAUAUUUAUAUUGCUCUUUUUAAAUAUCUUUAAAGUCACUUCCUUACAUUUGGGAUACGAAUGAUUAAACGGAAUAAUUCGUUCCCAAAAGCACACAUAUCUAUAUAUUUGUGAUGGGCAGAAAAAAUUAUAAAUAUAUAUUUGGUACACUAGUACAUGUAAAUGUAUAUAUGCAUAUAGUGGAGUACAUACAGUGACUCACAAAAUUAAUCACGCUUCAGUUGAACAGCUAUUUCAUUUUUCAUUCCAUCUUGCAUAUGCAGUCAAACACAAAUCCGACUAAAUAUUUAUUUUAGUUGCUGUUUGAGAUACCGUUACCAAUAUGUUUGAUGUCGUCACCAUAAUUGGCGGUAUAUUAAAAUUUAAACAAAAAAAGUUUGCGUGUGCAUUGGUGAAUUCAUAAAAUAGAAUAAUUUUAAUUUUUAUACUCUCACAACUUGUUGCUACAGAGUAUAAUAGUUUUGUUCACCUAACGGUUGUUGAUACAAAAACUAAUCGAGUUAGAUAUAGGGUUAUAUAUAUAUAAAUGAUCAGGAUGAAGACGAGUUGAAAUCCAGGUGACUGUCUGUCCGUCCGUUCGCAGCAUAUUACGAAAUUCUGAUCAAAAAGGCCGUGCAAAAGUAAAAAAAAAACUCUACUCACUGAGAGAUACAGGAAGUUCUGGCUAAAUUUUGCCAAAAAGUACAAGAUCUGGAAUUUAGGUGACUGGGUGAAUGUCGGGUGGUUGGACGAGACAAAAAUAAAUCGUUUGGGAUCGGAUGAGCGGAAUGGACCUGAAGAAGCAAGUUGGGAAAUUAUUGGACCACCACGUUAAGCCUAUGUUGAAGUUUGGAGGAGGCUCCAUUAUAAUGUGGGGAUGCACAAAAACCAAUGAAUGGGGUUGGUAGGCUGGCUAAAAUCGAAGGACGAAUGACGCCAGAAUCUUACAUUGAUCUGUGCAAUAAUUUGCUUGGCACUGUAGGAAACUUAGGUGAAAAUACGUUGAAAAUUGUCUUCCAACAUGACAAUACUCCGAAACACACAGCAAAGGCAACUCCCAAAUAGCUCCAAUAAAAUAAUAAUAGUAUGCUAGAUGGAGCUCCGGAAUCUCCGGACAUCAAAGCCAUCGAGCACCAGAUAAGAAUCAAUCCCGUUAUAAAUGCUAAAGCUGUUUAUACGAAGUAUUAAUAAUAAUAUUUAACACUGUUUAUAUUAAGUUAAAAACGUGAACACAAUGAAAUAUUUUAUAUAUUGCUUUUAUUUAUUUUUUGUUGCUUGAUGAAAUAUUAUUUGUGUUUGAUUCGAGUUUUUUCAUCAUAAAUUCUAUACGUGUUGAUACCGUGAUGAUUUUGUGAGUCACUGUAAAUGCAAUGUCCACUAUGAAUCACACACACAUAAAAAUGAGAAAGAAAGUAAUGGGAGAAAAAGAAAGCUUUAGAGCGUAUACUAAUAUAUGGAAUUUAAUAUAACAGUGGUACAUUUAUUAAAUUUUAGUAUAACAUUUUCUACAUACAUACAUAUAGGAACAUUUGGUAGAGGUAACAAACAUACAUACAUUAUUGUACAAUAUUAAAGUGUUAAAUGGAAAUAAAAUAAAUUAUUUGUUGUAAUGUGCACAAAAUAUCAAAGCAGCGAUAAACAAAAUUGUUUACACAUCAAUAUGAAAAAUGUAUAGUCACCUAAAAUAUAAGUUUAAAGGAAAAGGAGCAACUAAUUUAAGAAACCAUGCAAUUGAUACGUUAUUUUGAAUUUCGAUCAUAACUUGGUUUUAUCUGAUAGAAGAAGUUUAAAACUUUGUACAUACAUAAGUACAUAUACAGUGAUUUGCGAUAAAAAUAAAGUCACACCAUCGCCGACGAUGUUACUUUAUUUAAAACUAUUUUGUGAACCCAAUAUUCGCUGAAGUAACUGUAAUUCAAUAAACAAUUACCUAUGAAUAUUAUGCACUUAUUUUUGAAUUCAAUCGCACGUUCGUUUUUUGCAAAUCAGUGAAAUUGUACCAUUGACUGUUAAACGAGAUGUGCGUUACAAUAGAGCGAAACAAUAAAAUUAAAUAUUCUGAGAA